GUGGGGGUGAGGUGGGAGGGAGGGGGAGCAGCCACGGCCCCUGAGCACUGUCAGUCCCAAUGGGAAAGGGAAAACAGGGAUAAAUAAUCCCCCUGUGCCAGAUGCGGGCUGGUGCGGCCGUGGGAGGGGACGCGGUGCCUCGCUCUGCUGGGCUUUGUGCCGCUCACAAGCGAGUGCCCGGCGGUGGAAUGAGAUGGGUUUUUAAGGAUGUGGACCAUCUGUAGGGUCCUGGAAUGCUCCGGGACUCCACGUGCUGGCGUGCGCGGAGCACAUGCGUGCGGGGAGGAGCUGCAAGGCUGCGUUGCCAGAAACGCGCCGAGGACAGCUCCAGGGCGGCUGCAGGAGCGGCCGGGAGCGAGCAUUCCCUCCCAGGAACAGCCUCCACCCGCGGAUCCCGUUUUCUCCUCCAUCAGGGUUCACUGCCGGGGUCACUCUGGCUUUGAGCAUCCCGGGAAAUGCCGUUUCCACCCUCGGGACUGUGUCCCUAACACACCUUCCGUGCUUUCCCUUACGGCACCUCUUUUCCUGCCACGCUCUGAUAAUUAACAGCUCUAAAUCACUCCUGGUGCUCCGGGCGUUGGCACCGCAGAGGGUUUCCCCUCUAGGGGUGGUUUUGGGGGAGCUGCCGUGCCCAGGCUCCGGGUCCCUCCGUGGGCAGGGCAGAGGAGCCGGGCAGAGGCAGCUGCAGCCUGGCAGGGCUCCCAAAGCAGCGUCGCUGGGAGAUCUCAGGGAUAAACCAGCACCUGCCUCUGCCUGGUGGCUUCCUUCCAGUGAGCCCUCUGCAGCAGGAGGGGCUGGUGGCACUGGGACGUGCACACAGCAAAGGCUUUGCUGUGCCCUGAGCCUUGGUUUGGCACCUCAUCCCCAAAGCCCGGGAUCUGGGCGUGUGUUUAAUGCCAUAUUCCUUGUAGGAAUGGGUUAAAGCCACAGGGGUAGGUGGUGGUGGCACAAGGCUUCAGGGACUUGUCUCCAGCUCUUUAUCAGCCCCUGGCUCUCCUUUUCUCCCUCCUGUGCUCCCGAGGGAUUUCCAGGAGUUUAUCUGCUGUGUCCUUGAGAAAGGAAAGGAAUAAUCCAUGCCAGGCCUGGAUGGAGGGAAUUCUGCUGCCUGCUGCAAAGCCCAGGGAAAGGAAUAAAAUUCCAUGACCUUCAGCGGAUGGGGUACAGGGAGUGGCACUGGGGUGGAAGCAGAUCCUCUAAGGAAGGAGGUUCCCCCGGAAGAUCUCCUGUUCCUGCAUCUGCACUCUCCUUCCCCACCCGUGGCUGCCCCAGGAACAUCCCACCCCUCACACGGACAGGAUGCCCUCCCCAGGAGGUCACCACGAGCUGAGGACUGCACAGAUUUGGCAGCUUUGGGGUUUUCCUCACCCAGCUGGAAGCAUUGAAGGUUGGUGUGGGCAGCUCCUGGCCCAAAUCCCACAAUCCCAACGGCCCCAUCCCACUGGGUUUAGUGCCUGUUGGAUCAGAGACUGAGUAAACUCCCAGUUUUUUGGUCUAUUACCCUCUUAGCAUUUAAAAAUAGAGCUGUUACUAAGCAAUGGCAGCGAGCAGAAAGCCAGGCCUAUUGAGGAUCCUUCCUGGGAACAGGUAUUUUUCCCAGCCCAAGUGCUGUAAACAUUGUGGGAUGAGGAAUUAUGAAUCAGAGCCUUCCCUCCCUCCCAUCCCCACCGCUGCUCCCCCAUUAUCCCCAAAACCAGCGGCAGCAACAUCAGGAACUGUUUGUUUCCCCUCUGCCUUGGUCUGCAGGGCAGAUUUCCCAACCUUUCCACACAUCUUUCCAGAUAAAAAGGAAAAGAAGAGGGAUGACAUUGCCAUGGAGUGGGGGAACCACGGGGGCAGGAGCUGCAGGAGUCCCAGCACCGCCAAGGCCACCCCUGCCCACGUCCCCAAGUGCCACAUCCACAGUGAAACCCCUCCAGCGAUGGGGACUCACCCACCCACUGCUUCUCCAGCUCCUUUCCCAUCCUGGGGCUCAGUAUCCCUGCACAGAGCCAAGAGCAGCACUGGUGGGCAAGGACAAUAUAUGGAAUUAAUACAGAGAUGAAGAGAAAUUGGAAAACCAGCUGUAAUUUCCCCACACGGGGUUCAAAUCCUUGUCAGCCCCAGCAGCUCUCCCGAAUCCCUCACGGAUUUAUGGCAGCAGAAAAACUUUUGCAGUGGGCUUUUAGGACCAGCUUUGGGAUAAAGUCUCUUCUGACAGGGUUAGAAUAGGGCAGGAAUUCUCAUUAAAUACAAGAAGUGACAUUUUCAAUUAAGCAAGAGGAAGAAAGCAGCUGAGAAUUGAUAGGCCUGCUCCAGAAAAUGGGGAGAAACGUCAUAAAAAAUGGGAAGGUGCAGCUGGAGAAGCCUGGGUAUUAAAAAUCACACUCAUACAUUCAAAUUAUCCAAAGGAAUGAUGGAUUUGUCCCUACUCCAGGCUCUUUUGAGUCAAAAUAAUCAGGAAUGCAGCAGUGGAGAGGCUGAGCUUGGCUUUCCCCAUGUGCCAUGUGGGAUGGGGAGGCUCAGCCCAUCCCAACAGUUCUUUGGGAAUCCAGAGCUCCUCUCACUUUUAGCAGCAGGAUUUCAGGAUUCCUGGCCCUCCAUUAAAUGGAGGAUUUGGGAUUUGGGGCCGGAAUUAGGGCACUUGUGGAGCCACACGUGCAGGGCUGGAAGGCAGCGAGGUGUGAUGGCUCCAUGUGCUCCAGGAGCAGCACUCCCCUUGGACUGGCUCAUGGAAUUACUGAAUAGGAUAACGUGAGGAAAACUGCGAACAAAUCAUUCCCCAGUCCAAUUCCUGCAUCUCCUUGUUUGCCAACCACACAGGGAUGGGGCUUCUUUCCUGGGAAGUCCCCGAGUUCAGUUUAGAGGCUGCAACUUAGAGGGGACCUGGUGGGAAUGCUCUCAACCCUUCUGUUUGCUCCAGAGGGGACCAUAAUCUGGGAAUAGGGAAUGGCAGGAACCCAGGUUCCAUUUGCCCCAGUGCUGGAAUCCUCCUCUGUCCCAGGGACACGGAUGACUCCACACAUUCCCCCUCAACCCCAGCAGCCAGGAGCUCCCACUGCUCCGGGAUCCAGCAGCUGCUCGCAGCUACGGAUUCUGCCCAGCUCUGUUGUUCCCCUCUUUGGCCAAAGUAAAACCUUUUUAAUUCCCCCCCAA